GCCCUUGUAGCCCAAUCGGCAGAGGCACACGACUCAAAAUCGUGACAGUGUGGGUUCGACUCCCACCAAGGGCACC
rnacentral:tRNA from 2 species